AGAGUUGAUCAUGGCUCAGGACGAACGCUGGCGGCGUGCCUAACACAUGCAAGUCGAGCGGGGAGAUUCCUUCGGGAUGAUCCUAGCGGCGGACGGGUGAGUAACACGUGGGCAACCUGCCUCAUAGAGAGGAAUAGCCUUCCGAAAGGGAGAUUAAUACCUCAUAACAUUGCAGUUUCGCAUGGAACAGCAAUUAAAGGAGUAAUCCGCUAUGAGAUGGGCCCGCGGCGCAUUAGCUAGUUGGUGAGGUAAUGGCUCACCAAGGCGACGAUGCGUAGCCGACCUGAGAGGGUGAUCGGCCACAUUGGGACUGAGACACGGCCCAGACUCCUACGGGAGGCAGCAGGUGGGGAAUAUUGCACAAUGGGGGAAACCCUGAUGCAGCCAACGCCGCGUGAGUGAUGACGGCCUUCGGGUUGUAAAGCUCUGUCUUCAGGGACGAUAAUGACGGUACCUGAGGAGGAAGCCACGGCUAACUACGUGCCAGCAGCUGC
rnacentral:rRNA from 1 species